rnacentral:rRNA from 1 species
UAACCCGCACCACUUAUCGUGGUGGGAGACAGUGUCAGGCGGGCAGUUUGACUGGGGCGGUCGCCUCCUAAAAGGUAACGGAGGCGCUCAAAGGGUCCCUCAGAAUGGUUGGAAAUCAUUCAUAGAGGGUAAAGGCAUAAGGGAGCUUGACUGCGAGACCUACAAGUCGAGCAGGGUCGAAAGACGGACUUAGUGAUCCGGUG